rnacentral:rRNA from 1 species
UACGUAGGGUGCGAGCGUUGUCCGGAAUUAUUGGGCGUAAAGAGCUCGUAGGCGGUUUGUCGCGUCGACUGUGAAAACCUACAGCUUAACUGUGGGCUUGCAGUCGAUACGGGCAGACUUGAGUUCGGUAGGGGAGACUGGAAUUCCUGGUGUAGCGGUGAAAUGCGCAGAUAUCAGGAGGAACACCGGUGGCGAAGGCGGGUCUCUGGGCCGAUACUGACGCUGAGGAGCGAAAGCGUGGGGAGCGAA